rnacentral:rRNA from 1 species
CCUACGGGAGGCAGCAGUGAGGAAUAUUGGUCAAUGGACGCAAGUCUGAACCAGCCAUGCCGCGUGCAGGAAGACGGCUCUAUGAGUUGUAAACUGCUUUUGUACGAGGGUAAACGCAUAUACGCGUAUCUGUCUGAAAGUAUCGUACGAAUAAGGAUCGGCUAACUCCGUUCCAGCAGCCGCGGUAAUACGGAGGAUUCAAGCGUUAUCCGGAUGUAUUGGGUUUAACGGGUGCGUAGGCGGUCGGAUAAGUUAGAGGUGAAAUCCCGAGGCUCAACUUCGGAAUUGCCUCUGAUACGGUGCGGCUAGAGAGUAGUUGCGGUAGGCGGAAUGUAUGGUGUAGCGGUGAAAUGCGUAGAGAUCAUACAGAACACCGAUUGCGAAGGCAGCUUACCAAGCUACUGCUGACGUUGAGGCACGAAAGCGUGGGGAGCAAACAGGAUUAGAUACCCCUGUAGUC